rnacentral:rRNA from 1 species
UACGAAGGGGGCUAGCGUUGCUCGGAAUCACUGGGCGUAAAGCGCACGUAGGCGGAUUGCUAAGUCAGGGGUGAAAUCCUGGAGCUCAACUCCAGAACUGCCUUUGAUACUGGCGACCUUGAGUCCGGGAGAGGUGAGUGGAACUGCGAGUGUAGAGGUGAAAUUCGUAGAUAUUAGGAAGAACACCGGUGGCGAAGGCGGCCCACUGGUCCGGUACUGACGCUGAGGUGCGAAAGCGUGGGGAGCAAACAGG